rnacentral:lncRNA from 1 species
UGUGUCUCAUCCACAGGUGCUGAACUGACGCCUCACAUCUAAACUUCUUCAACAUGAUCUUCAUGGUUUUUAUGUUGUGUUUUCUUCAUCUGCCACAAACUCAAGGUGCCUCUGACUCCAAACAUGUGGACCAAACACCGCGGUUCAUGAUGAAGAGAACUGGUGAAUCUGUUGACAGUGAGAUCAGCUGUUCACACAGUAUAACAGAUUAUACUGUUAUUCUCUGGUAUAAACAAGACAAACACAAAGGUCUGAAGCUGCUUGGAUAUCUAAACCUGUUCAACCCGUAUCCAGAAAAAGACGUGGAGAGAAAAAUCAACUUUAACGGAGAUGGUAGUAAACAGUCGGGCCUCAACAUUUCUCGUCUGACAUUGGAGGACAGUGGUGUGUAUUUCUGUGCUGCCAGUCAGCACAGUGCUGCAGAUUCCUCUCAGCUCAAUACAAAAACCUUCAUCUGUCAGACAGACAAGACUGUUCAUGCUGCUCAACACCUGCAGUCAGCCUCCAUCUCACCAACACUUAAGAUUUUACAGCGCAGCUGAUUGGAUCACAGCACAAACUGCAGUGACACUCCCACCUGCAGCUCUUCAUAUAAACUACAUGAGGUAGUUUCUGUCCAACAGAUCAUGGAGACCAUCAUCAAACAGCACCUUGUCAAACUGUCUGUCUUACUGUGGACUGCAGGUGAUCAAAUAUAUUAAAUUAAGUCUGCUUUAAAAUCACAUUUAAAAUUUACCAUUUUGUUCUCAAUAGAAAAAAUAAAUAAGAUUAUAUAAGUACAAAUAAUCUAUAAUUUGUACUUAUUUUUAUGUCUACAGAUUUAAUUUGUGGAAGUGAUGUCACUCAGACUUCAAUACUGUGGAAAAACAAUGGUGAAGAUGCAACAAUGAACUGCAGCCACACUAAGGACAUCGACUACAUCCAGAUGUACUGGUACAGACAGCUGCCAGGAGAAAUGAUGGAACUAAUAGUGUUUACAACUACAACCAAUAAACUAAAACAUGAUUUUGGAAAAUUCAGUCAAGACAAAUUCUCCGCCACCAAACCUGAUGUUUACAAUGGGACGUUCACAGUGAAGAAUCUGGAGUCAGGAGAU